GAUGAACGCUGGCGGCGUGCCUAAUACAUGCAAGUCGAGCGAACAGACGAGGAGCUUGCUCCUCUGACGUUAGCGGCGGACGGGUGAGUAACACGUGGAUAACCUACCUAUCAGACUGGGAUAACUUCGGGAAACCGGAGCUAAUACCGGAUAAUAUAUUGAACCGCAUGGUUCAAUAGUGAAAGACGGUUUUGCUGUCACUUAUAGAUGGAUCCGCGCCGCAUUAGCUAGUUGGUAAGGUAACGGCUUACCAAGGCAACGAUGCGUAGCCGACCUGAGAGGGUGAUCGGCCACACGGGAACUGAGACACGGUCCAGACUCCUACGGGAGGCAGCAGUAGGGAAUCUGCCGCAAUGGGCGAAAGCCUGACGGAGCAACGCCGCGUGAGUGAUGAAGGUCUUCGGAUCGGAAAACUCUGUUAUGAGGGAAGAACAAAUGUGUAAGUAACUAUGCACGUCUUGACGGUACCUAAUCAGAAAGCCACGGCUAACUACGUG
rnacentral:rRNA from 1 species